UACGUAGGGUGCAAGCGUUGUCCGGAAUUAUUGGGCGUAAAGGGCUCGUAGGCGGUUUGUCGCGUCGGGAGUGAAAACUCAGGGCUUAACCCUGAGCCUGCUUCCGAUACGGGCAGACUAGAGGUAUGCAGGGGAGAAUGGAAUUCCUGGUGUAGCGGUGAAAUGCGCAGAUAUCAGGAGGAACACCGGUGGCGAAGGCGGUUCUCUGGGCCUGUACUGACGCUGAGGAGCGAAAGCGUGGGGAGCGAACAGG
rnacentral:rRNA from 1 species